AUCCUCUGCAUCCUCAAUAUACAACCUACAUCAACCUAGGGGUGGAUAUCAGAAGCCAAUGCUGUGCUUAGAAGAGAAAAUGCACUGUUCAACUUACUCAAACAUUCUUAGGCAUCUUAUGGAAUAUUUCAUAAGAAUGUGUCUCCCAGUGGCCACUUUACCUGAGUCUUCUACAUUUUUUAGAAAAAGAAAGAAAAUAAAGAAGGAAGAAAAAAAAGGAAGGAAGGAAGGAAGGAAGGAAGGAAGGAAGGAAGGAAGGAAGGAAGGAAGGAAGGAAACUCGACUCCCAAUGCAGGUAUGACCUGGCACUGACAACUUCCAGAACAAAAGACAUGUUUUGGCUAUGAGUAUUUCUGUCCAUGGCUUUGCUGGCUUUGAACACUGGAAAGUGCCAUGGUGCUGGAAGGUGCUUUGCAUGCUGUGAGCGGAGAAAGGUAACCAUCAACCCAGCUACAAAGUCCGCAAUCUGCAAUGGUGAGCUGCCUGCAAGAUAUGCUGAUACAAUCGUGGUGCAAAUGUUGAUGGGAUGAUCAGCCACUCUCUGAUUGAAAUUAAUGCCCACUCUACAAGAUGGAACUCAUGCCUGACACUACUAUGGUGCCCAAGAACCUGAGACUGGAUAAACUAUGGACCUUGGGGAAAACCAAAUACUAUAUAUUUGCUAAAGGAACAUAGUACUAAAAUGACUCCUAGUGACAUUCUGCUGUAAUCAUAGAUCGGCGCCUUGCUCAGCCAUCACUGAAGAAGCUUCCUCCUGCAGCAGAUGGGAAUUAACACAGAGAUCCACAGCUGGAUAAUGUGCAUAGAGCAAGAGACUUUGGGACUCUCAGUCCUAAAUCGAAUAUCUCCAUCAAACCCUUCCCCUCAGGGUUCAGAGAUCUAUGUAGAAGAGGGGGCAGAAAGACUGCAAGAUCCAGACGUGAUAGGUGACUCCAAGGAAACAGUGUCUUCCAAACACAUGUAUAAAUGCACAGAGACUGUGGCAGAGUGCACAGGACCCACACAGUUUGAAGCCAGAUGGGGACUAGGCAUGGAGAGAGGGAAGCAGAAACUGGCUCUUACCCUUAGACAAGAAAAUGUCAGCAGCUGAUUCCACUGGCAAAGGAAAAGUUAGUUUUCUCCAAUAGAGUCUCCCUGAGUAUAUUAGUCACUCUUCAGAUUAAGCCCCAUGGCCAGGAAAAGCUGGCCAAUAUUAAAGGAACUCAACUGUAAUUUUGUAGAUUUUGGGGGCAUUUUUUGUCUCAUU